GACGAACGCUGGCGGCGUGCCUAAUACAUGCAAGUAGAACGCUGAAGGAGGAGCUUGCUUCUCUGGAUGAGUUGCGAACGGGUGAGUAACGCGUAGGUAACCUGCCUGGUAGCGGGGGAUAACUAUUGGAAACGAUAGCUACUACCGCAUAAGAGUAGAUGUAGCAUGACAUUUGCUUAAAAGGUGCAAUUGCAUCACUACCAGAUGGACAUGCGUUGUAUUAGCUAGUUGGUGAGGUAACGGCUCACCCAGGCAACGAUACAUAGCCGACCUGAGAGGGUGAUCGGCCAAACUGGGACCUGGACACGGCCCAGACUUCUACGGGAGGCAGCCGUAGGGAAUCAUCGGCAAUUGACGGAAGUCUGACCGAGCAACGCCGCGGGAGUGAAGGAGGGUUUCGGAUCGGUAAGCUCUGUUGUAAGAGAAGAACGAGUGUGAGAGUGGAAAGUUCACGCUGUGACGGUAUCUUACCAGAAAGGAACGGCUAACUACGUG
rnacentral:rRNA from 1 species